AACCUGGAUUAUAAUAUCAGGCAAUUAUUAUGCGUAAUAUUAUGUUAAUAAAUUAUACUAUAUCAUAAUUAAAUUCGUGCAUGUUGAGAAAUUAUGGCAUUGUCGGUGACCAAAUGAUGAUUAAUAUGACUAGUUAUGUAAACUUUACCCAAAAAAAAUAGCUUUAAAAAGUAGAGAGAGAUAAGACCAAGAAGAGAAGGUUAGCGAAGAGAACGGCGAUAAGGUGACCACACAAUUUCCCACCACCUACUUUCGCUUUGCUUUCCAACUACGCUCCAUUCGUUACUCUUUCUCUCUCUCCGAUACCCAAUCUCCCACUUUUCCUUCUCUUUUCUCUUCCCCUUCAUCCCAAGAAAAACAUUGAACUCAGCUGAGAGUUAUGGCUGAAAAAUCAAACAGCUCAGAAACAUCCGCAUCAUUUACAUAACUAGACUUACAAAAGAAGAUUCUAGGCUGACCACAUAGCUUUUAGUUACUGCUUUAAUGGGUUCUGUGAGUAACACAAAUCCAUGGGUGGCUCCAAAUUCGGUUUUGAAGGACUGUUCCCAAGGGAUUUGCAGCAUGUAUUGUCCUCAAUGGUGCUACAUCAUGUACUCGCCUCCACCACCGUCAAUCGUUCUCGGUGACGGUUCAGAUGACGAUGAUUCUUCCUCCGGCUUCCAAUUCUCUCCCCUUAUAGUCGCAGUGAUUGGAAUCUUGGCAAGUACUUUCAUCUUGGUCACUUACUACACCGUCAUCUCAAGGUUCUGCAGGAACAGAGGAAGAGUUAACGAUCAAGCAAAUCAUAGCAAUGAUGAUACUGUUAAUAACAAUGAACCUUCUCAGGUUGCUGCGACUUCCGGCAUGGACGAGGCUCAGAUCAAAUCGAUAACCGUCUGUAAGUACAUCAAGAACGGUGGGUUGGUUGAGGGAAGUGACUGUUCCGUUUGUUUAUCAGAGUUUCAAGAGAAUGAGAGUUUGAGAUUGUUGCCCAAAUGUAACCACGCUUUUCAUCUUCCUUGUAUUGAUACUUGGCUUAAAUCACAAGCUAGUUGUCCCUUGUGCCGCUCCAAUAUUGUUUUCUCUAAUAAUAACUCCAAUCCGAGUCACUCUGACUCGGCAUUGACACAGAUUCCACAUCCGCCACCGGCAACUGUCAGUGUCAAUUCCUUGGAAUAUCAGCAGAGGAGUGAUGAUGUUGUUGCAAUAAUUGUUCAGAGUUCACAGCAUCAGCAAGUUGUGGUUGAUUUUGGUAGUCAAGUCCAGGAGAACAAAGUGAAUCUGUAAUGUGUGAAUCAAAUGGGGAAAAAAAAAAAGCAGCAGUGUGGAUGCAUCUUUGUUCAUCUCAAGCCUCCCACUGCCUCCUCCUCUCAAACGCCAUCUAUCGUAGCCAGUAAAAAACCUACGGUACGCCGUCAUCGUCACCCCGCCCAGAAUGGAGACGCUAUUCCAUCGUUGUCCAACAACGCACCUAUACCUCUCUCCUACACGUCGCAUCUCCACCUCUGUUGAACUCGCGAAGCGCCGUCGCUCCCUCGCCGUGCCGGAAUUUUCGCGCCGUUGCUACCUAACCGCGCUGGAGUCUUUGUCUUGUCGCAUCUCUGGCCCUGCCUCCAACCCGCCGUCAGAUGGUUCUUUUAUAUGAGAAGUGGAUGUUUAUUUGGUUUAUACCAUUGCUCUGUUACUUGAUUUGCUUGAUUCUGUAUGCACAUACUCUGCAGGAUUCUUUUGUUAUGUGAUUUGAAUUUGAUUUAGUUUAA